rnacentral:sRNA from 1 species
UUCUUUAAAAAUGAUGCAAAACCCUUUGUCCCCACUUGCUGCCGGGAUGAGAGGUAAGCACGGACCUGCCCACCCUCUGACAUCGUUAGCCAGUGAAGACCCUGGAGCUGGCCAUGGAGCGAGCACCUCCGCAUCCAGGCUCGGCAGUGAGGAGGAUGGGCCCCAGCAGAUGAGCUUCUCCCACGGGCAGCACGCAGGGUAGACAGAGGCCUCGCGUAGGGCAUGGAGGGCCCAGGUGGACAUCCUUUUGUCAGUGAAGAUGGCCCCUCCUCAGGUUCCCCUCACGACAAAAGCGUUUGUGAUCAGACAGCCCACUAGGGUGAAUGGCUCAUCUCUUACCUGCCCAUGGGUAAGCAGACACCUGGACGGCUUCCACAAGAAUUUAUUAUUGCAAUGAAUGUGUAGCAUGAGGGGGGUCUUAUCUUUUAAGAGGGUCUUACUCUGUUGCCCAGGCUGCAGUGCAGUGGUACAGUCAUUACUUAGUGUAGCCUCUAGCUGCUGGGCUCAAGCGAUCCUCCUGCCUCAGCCUCCUGAGUACCUGGGACUAUAGGCGUGCACCAUGCCUGGCUAAUUUUUAAAAUUUUGUAGAGACAGAAUUUCGCUGUGUUGCCCAGGCUGGUCUGGAAUUCCUGGGCUCAAGCAAUCUGCCGGUGAGCCACCGCGCCCAGCCUGUCUUUAAAAAUUUUUUAAAGAACAUCCCACUCAGACCAGCGUUAACAAUAACAUACUUUAGGUGGUCAAAAAUAAUAAAUUUUGUUAGGUAUAUUUCAUCACAAUUUUUAAAAAGACAAAUGGAGCAUGCCCCGCCCUCCCCCCCAAAAAAGAUGAAUAGCAACACAAACAGGAUACGGGAAAAUAACAUUUUGGGGUCUAUACUCAAGGUUUUUGGAGACUUCUAUUACAGAGACCUAGCAGGGGUCAUCAGUUAGGCCCUAGACGUCCUCACACCCUUGCAAAGGGGAUGUGUGGUCAGCUGCCACGUCUUGUCCGUGGCCAAAGGCUGCAGCUCCUCCCUGAAGCCUGAGCACCCCUCCCCCGACACCUCCCAGAGGAAGCUCCGUGACGCCCCUGGGGCCCUGAGUGUCUGCUUAUAACCAACCCUGUUUAAUUUUCCUGUGAAGAAUGGAGACUUUUGCUGUCGGCUCCAGAGCUGUGCGUCUGUGUGAGUAGGGGGUGGCCGUCCCCCCAGGGAGGGUGCAGCUUCAUGUGUCUGGUGGCCUUUCCUUCCAGACCCCCAGAGGAGCCCACCACCUGGACCGGGUACUUCGGGAAAGUGCUCAUGGCCUCCACCAGCUACCUGCCUUCCCAAGUGACAGAAAUGUUCAACCAGGGCAGAGCCUUCGCCACGGUCCGCCUGCCAUUCUGCGGCCACAAAAACAUCUGCUCGCUAGCCACAAUUCAGAAGAUCCCGCGGUUGUUGGUGGGUGCCGCCGACGGGUACCUGUACAUGUACAACCUGGACCCCCAGGAGGGCGGCGAGUGCGCCCUGAUGAAGCAGCACCGGCUGGACGGCAGUCUGGAAACGACCAAUGAGAUCUUGGACUCUGCCUCUCACGACUGCCCCUUAGUCACUCAGACAUACGGCGCAGCUGCAGGAAAAGGUACUUACGUGCCUUCAUCCCCAACGAGACUUGCCUACACAGACGACCUGGGUGCUGUGGGUGGCGCCUGCCUGGAGGACGAGGCCAGCGCCCUGCGCCUGGAUGAGGACAGCGAGCACCCGCCCAUGAUUCUUCGGACUGACUGAACUUGACCUGUGACCUCUGACCCGGGGAGCAGAGAACACUGGCUUCACAGAGGACUUUGUGCAUUGCUGCUAUGAACUUUGACCUGAGUCGGGGGAGAGGAUGGCAGAGACUUUAUUAAAAAAAAAAAAAAGAUUGUAGUGGUAGUCUAACUCCAUAACGCUGAGGAAAUACAUCAUUUUCACUUCAGUGGCUUUUAAAUCCUGCUUAUGAAUUUUAGCUUUUUGUUUGUUUGUUUUCUCUUUUUGCCAAAAUUAACUGUUUGGUGAAGCCCGCAAAACCGCCUCGCUUUGCAUGCGUGAACGUGCCAAGCCAGCAUAGGGGAGCUAGAAGCCACUUUCCAGCCACCUGCCGUUGGGUUUUUUCAUAUCUGUACAUAAUGCCGAGUGCGUAAGGAAACCGUGGCGUCGCGCACAGUGGGUCUGCUUGUCAAGGCCAGUUCUGCAGUGACAGGCCUGGGGCUGCCCACCAGGUGUGCUGGGCAGACUUCAGCUGGGACAGGAGUCCGAUCUCCCUAGGGCCCCACCUGGACCAUUUUCCCUCCGUUUUAUUUUGUUAAUUAAAUUCUUUCCAAAUUGGAUCACUCUGGGAUUUCUUCCAUGGUGGACUUUUGUUUCUGAUCUUGUUUUCCAUGUGGAUAUUGGAGGACAGCGAGGUUCUUUCUGAUACUAAAAACCUUUCUUUCAGGCAGCAAAUGAACUUGAAAGGUUGCCUGGACUCGCUGGAGCAAAGGAAAGCGAUUUUGUUUGUAUAAUUAAAUGAUCUGUUCUUCUACUUC